rnacentral:rRNA from 1 species
CCUACGGGUGGCAGCAGUGAGGAAUAUUGGUCAAUGGGCGCGAGCCUGAACCAGCCAAGUAGCGUGAAGGAUGACUGCCCUACGGGUUGUAAACUUCUUUUAUAAAGGAAUAAAGUGAGGCACGUGUGCCUUUUUGCAUGUACGUUAUGAAUAAGGAUCGGCUAACUCCGUGCCAGCAGCCGAGGUAAUACGGAGGAUCCGAGCGGUAUCCGGAUUUAUUGGGUUUCAAGGGAGCGUAGAUGGGUUGUUAAGUCAGUUGUGAAAGUUUGCGGCUCAACCGUAAAAUUGCAAUUGAUACUGGCAGUCUUGCGUACAGUUGAGGUCGGCGGAUUUCGUGGUGUAGCGGU